rnacentral:rRNA from 1 species
GACAGAGGGUGCAAACGUUGUUCGGAAUUACUGGGCGUAAAGCGUGUGUAGGCGGCCAGGCAAGUCGGAUGUGAAAGCCCCAGGCUCAACCUGGGAAGUGCACCCGAAACUGCUUGGCUUGAGUAUCGGAGAGGUUGGUGGAAUUCUCGGUGUAGAGGUGAAAUUCGUAGAUAUCGAGAGGAACACCGGUGGCGAAGGCGGCCAACGUGGACGGAAUACUGACGCUGAGACACGAAAAGCGUGGGGGAGCAAACAGG